rnacentral:rRNA from 1 species
UAUUAAAGUUAGUUGUCAGUUAAAAGUACUCCGUAGUUGAAGUUCUGAUUGCUCAGGUUUCCAGCCUUAGGCGGAGAUACUGACAGUCAUCCGCUUGCAAACAUAUGUUCGAUCUUCACCGGUUGGCUAUGUGAGUAAGCACUUUACCUUGAGAAAAACAGAGUGUUCCAGGCAGGUUUGUCCGGGAUGCAUUAGCAUGGAAUAAUAGAACAUGACUGAAGUCGAUUUAUUGGUUUAAGGCUUUAGUAAUGAUUAAUAGGAACAGUCGGGGGCAUUCGUACUCAGCAGUCAGAGGUGAAAUUCUAAGAUUUGCUGAAGACGAACUAAUGCGAAAGCAUUUGCCAAGGAUGUUUUCAUUAAUCAAGAACGAAAGUUAGGGGAUCAAAGACGAUCAGAUACCGUCCUAGUCUUAACUAUAAACUAUGCC